rnacentral:lncRNA from 1 species
GUGGCGGCUCGCGCACUGGGGGCGCUGGGGGGGGGGCCUUGAGGGUGUAUGAAGCAGACAGGGUGCCCGGCAAAAGGCCGAGGGAUGGGCUGGGGAGCGCCCCCAGCUCGGCGCUAUCCGCGCCGCCGCCGCCACCGGCGCUGGCUCGGGUCCGGGAAGCUAGUCCCGAGCGGAGGAAUCUAUUGUUAUUUAUUGUGUGGCGGUUGCAUGCUGUACUCGCGGUGGCCCUGCCCUCGCCCGGGAGUGCGUGUGUGUGCGCGCGUGUGCGCGAGUGAGUGUAUGCGCGGGGGUGCGCGCGCGGGCGGGAGUGGGCGCGCGCGGGGAAAGGCCCGAAAACACCUUAGUUUGCACCGAGAGACCAUUUGCAGCGGAACCCGAAAGUUAGCAAGAGGAAGAGAGCGCGCGGCGAGCCAGCGGGCCAGGGGCAGCGGCGGCGGCGCGGGGGACCAUGGUACUGCCGGCGCCUCCUCCGCGGGCGUAAAGGAGGCGCUCCCACUCCCUCCCUGGACUCCGCGGUGUCCCAGGAGCUUUUGCUGA